rfam:Schistosoma haematobium scaffold586_19, whole genome shotgun sequence.
ACCCAGCUGACGAGUCUCAAAUAGAACGAAACAUGCUUCCUGGAU